GGGGACCGUGUCCCACCAAAGAGAGCAUAUCCCAUUAAAAGUGGGAUGCUACCAUUGUACUGUUCCACAGUGCAGGCCCUAAGGGGUGUUGGCUUUUUCUCUCUCUUUAGGACAGGGCUCUGAAUUAAUACAUUGUAAUUUUUAAGUUAUCAGUUCAAGAAAUGAUCACCAGAGCUGAGAGAGUACCAGUCUGCAAUCUCCAGGGUAGAGAGCACAGGCUGGUUGCGGGAAGACUCCUGCUGUACUGUGGGUGGAAAAUGUGAAAGUUUAAAUUUUCCCAAAGGCAGAAAGGGCCACUUCCUGUGUCUCCCUCCUGGCCCCAUCCUGCAUGCAGAGGCCGUGUUUGUGCUUACUGGGUCACUGGAGCGGGUAGAGUGGGAUAGAAUUGUGAAACUCUUGCCUGCCCUGAAAUGGAUGGUGGCUGGAAUGAGGAGGGGGAGGGAUGCCCUCGCUGGUGACAUGUGUGGUUGCUCAUCAACAUCCAUAGCCCUGGGCCCAGAGCCAGGCCCACUGGGGCCCACACAGACACCAUGGGAGGCUGGUUGUUCAUCAGUCCCUUGUUUUGCUUGGUUCCUCCUGGGGUCAGGGGGCCCUUGAAAAGUGUAUAGCCUUCUCCUAGGCUACACCCCUGGCCAGACCCAUGGAAGGGACGUGACACUAUUUGAUCCAUCUCAGAGUUCAGGGAGUAGGGAUGGUGGUCCCAGUAGCUCCCACACUUGUACCUUGAGAGGAGGUGCAAGACUGGACAAGAUCUUUUUUAGAUCUGAAUGCAGUUGCUUCUCCUUGGGACAGCAACCCUAUAUGUCUCUGGGAACUCCAAGAUAUGACAAGAUAUGGGAGAAAGGUGUGAGGAGAGCUGGAGUCAGGUGUAUUUAGAGAGCAGCUCCAGGUCCCAGAGCCUUAGGACAGGAGCUCUGAGCUCCAGUUCCUUUGAGGCCCAGGAAAGAAGCAGGUGGAGCCCUGACGUGUUCAGGAUAUUAGGGAGCAGCUGAUGGCCAGGGGUACACACACCCCUGCUGUUCACCUCUCCCAAGCUAAGGGCCUCCGGCCUGGAGACUGUCAUAGGCUGCCAUAGGCCACAGUGGUGCUUUGUUUUUUUAAUUUUUUUACUCUUUCUCAUAUGUAGCAAGCCACCCUUCCCUCUGCGGCCACUUAGGCAGGCUGUGCUCUCUGGGGCUGGCCUGGCUGUCUAGUUUCCGGGGAGGCAGAGGCAGGGACUUUGAGGCCUUAGUCACCAUCCAUGACAUCACCUCAUCUCACUUCCUGUAAGACAGGGAUCUGGCAGAUGUCCCCAGACCUCCUGACUCAGGCCUGCCUUUCAGCUUUUCUACCCCACUCUUGGGGGCUGCUGGCUGAAGAGGGUCAAGGUGAGGUCAGAGGAAGCUGGAUGGUGGAGGUGGCAUGGGCAGAGGUUCCUUGUGCUUGGUGUUGGGUCAAAAUGCUGGGAAGCUGGCUUUGGAGAUCCUUCCUCACCAUCCAGCUACCUGCCAGUCCUUUCCCCGCCAUAGCCUCCUAUUUUCAUGCUCGCCCCAAUCCCUCACACUAGCCACUCAUCCUUAGUGGGCAUGGCCAAGUGGGCGGAACAGCAGCCUGAUGGCCCCAGACUUGAUGAUGAAGCCUAGAGAGGUACUGAGGAGCAGACUCAGGAAACUGACCGUGGCUGAUGUCUAGUCCAGUCAUAUCAUGCCCUGACCCCUUUCCUCCUGGAAGACGUCCUGGCUCGGGGGAGUAGGUCUCAUGAUAGCUGUGCAGGUUUUGUGCACUGAGGUCCGUGGGCUAUACCCCUGGCUUUCCUGCCUGGAAUGAGUUUGGGCUUAACGUAUCACCGCCCCACCCUGACGUGCUGUCAGUGGUGUUAGAGUGUAAAGACCUGCAGGUGGGGACCCACAAGCUAGAGGUGGGAAGGACAAGGAUCUUCUCUGAAGGAGUGUAAGUGGGAGUUGAGGGUUCACCCUACCGGGUAUCACAGCCUCCCACCAGCAUCUCCAGCAAGGCGGGUGGGGCCGCCACCGGACUAGCUUCAAGUCCUGUUCACUCCAGUUCGGUGCUUUGGGAUCCCAAGCUUCCUUGUUAAUUUAAGUCUGAAAAGAAAUCUGGGUACAUUUGACCCCUGUGCCAGUGAUGGACAUCCAUCCCCUGUGCUUUGUUGGGCUCCUGUGUUGUCCCUGAUGCCAUUUUUCUGUCCUCACAUCAGUAUUAACUCCUGCCUUUCAGUGUACACUUUGUCUCAUUCCUUUCUCACCUUCCCCUGAAAUGAAUAAAGUCUCCCAGCUCCCGUCGUUGUGUGGGCUGGCAGAAAUCACAUGAAA
rnacentral:lncRNA from 1 species